AUUUAAAUAGUUUAAUAAAAACAUUGAUUUGUGGGGUCAAAAAUAUAUAUUUAUAAUAUUUUAAAUA
rnacentral:tRNA from 1 species